rnacentral:rRNA from 1 species
AGCGAACGCUGGCGGCAGGCUUAACACAUGCAAGUCGAGCGGGCACUUCGGUGUCAGCGGCAGACGGGUGAGUAACACGUGGGAACGUACCCUUCGGUUCGGAAUAACGCUGGGAAACUAGCGCUAAUACCGGAUACGCCCUUUUGGGGAAAGGUUUACUGCCGAAGGAUCGGCCCGCGUCUGAUUAGCUAGUUGGUGGGGUAAUGGCCUACCAAGGCGACGAUCAGUAGCUGGUCUGAGAGGAUGAUCAGCCACACUGGGACUGAGACACGGCCCAGACUCCUACGGGAGGCAGAAGUGGGGAAUAUUGGACAAUGGGCGCAAGCCUGAUCCAGCCAUGCCGCGUGAGUGAUGAAGGCCUUAGGGUUGUAAAGCUCUUUUGUCCGGGACGAUAAUGACGGUACCGGAAGAAUAAGCCCCGGCUAACUUCGUG